rnacentral:rRNA from 1 species
AGAGUUUGAUCCUGGCUCAGAUUGAACGCUGGCGGUAUGCUUUACACAUGCAAGUCGAACGGCAGCAUGGGCUUCGGCCCGAUGGCGAGUGGCGAACGGGUGAGUAAUGCAUCGGAACGUGCCCAGUCGUGGGGGAUAGCUCGGCGAAAGCCGGAUUAAUACCGCAUACGAUCCACGGAUGAAAGCGGGGGACCCUCGGGCCUCGCGCGACUGGAGCGGCUGAUGUCAGAUUAGGUAGUUGGUGGGGUAAAGGCUCACCAAGCCAACGAUCUGUAGCUGGUCUGAGAGGACGACCAGCCACACUGGGACUGAGACACGGCCCAGACUCCUACGGGAGGCAGCAGUAGGGAAUCUUGGACAAUGGGGGCAACCCUGAUCCAGCCAUGCCGCGUGAGUGAAGAAGGCCCUAGGGUCGUAAAGCUCUUUCGCCUGUGAUGAU